GAUGAACGCUGGCGGCGUGCCUAAUACAUGCAAGUCGAGCGAACAGAUGAGGAGCUUGCUCCUCUGACGUUAGCGGCGGACGGGUGAGUAACACGUGGAUAACCUACCUAUAAGACUGGGAUAACUUCGGGAAACCGGAGCUAAUACCGGAUAAUAUAUUGAACCGCAUGGUUCAAUAGUGAAAGACGGUUUUGCUGUCACUUAUAGAUGGAUCCGCGCCGCAUUAGCUAGUUGGUAAGGUAACGGCUUACCAAGGCGACGAUGCGUAGCCGACCUGAGAGGGUGAUCGGCCACACUGGAACUGAGACACGGUCCAGACUCCUACGGGAGGCAGCAGUAGGGAAUCUUCCGCAAUGGGCGAAAGCUUGACGGAGCAACGCCGCGUGAGUGAUGAAGGUCUUCGGAUCGUAAAACUCUGUUAUUAGGGAAGAACAAAUGUGUAAGUAACUAUGCACGUCUUGACGGUACCUAAUCAGAAAGCCACGGCUAACUACGUGC
rnacentral:rRNA from 1 species